AUGAACUCUCUGACUAAGGUGAAGCUGAUCAACGAACUGAAUGAGCGAGAGGUUCAACUUGGGGUGGCAGAAAAGGUGUCUUGGCACUCGGAAUACAAGCACAGCGCCUGGAUCUUCGUUGGAGGGCUUCCUUAUGAACUGACAGAAGGAGACAUCAUCUGUGUGUUCUCACAAUAUGGGGAGAUUGUCAACAUUAAUCUUGUGAGAGACAAGAAGACUGGGAAAUCCAAAGGAUUCUGUUUCCUGUGCUAUGAAGACCAGAGGAGCACAGUUCUGGCUGUUGACAAUUUCAAUGGAAUUAAGAUUAAAGGAAGAACUAUCCGUGUGGACCAUGUGUCAAACUACCGGGCUCCUCAGGAAUCAGAAGAUGUGGAUGAUGUGACUAGAGAGCUCCAAGAGAAGGGCUGUGGGAUUAAAACACCCCCAUCAAGCCCUCCUGAAGUCUCUGAAGACGAAGAUGCCAAGCUCACAAAAAAGCACAAGAAAGACAAAAAAGAGAAAAAGAAAAGAAAGAAAGAAGAAGAGAAGGCUGAACGCCAGGUCCAAGCAGAGCAGCUGUCCUGCUCCAGAAGCAUGACAGUAAAGGAGAAGGAUGGGCAUAGUUCCAAGAAGCACAGCAGCCAGAGCUCGGAGAGAGCACAGAAGUCAGAACAGAGAGAGAGGAGGAAGAGUCACUAGGGCUCCCCUGAAGUCAGGAGUUCCUACCAUGGGAGAGCAGAGGACCCUGAGUGCAAGGAAAAGAAAGAGAAACUCAAGCAUGAGCACACAGCCUCCAGCAGGAGGGAGGCCAAGGAAAAGAGCAGAGAUAAGGACAGAGGGAGGAGCUCAGGGACUUAUUCCAGCAGGCAUGGUGGGCAUUCUGAUGGGCGGAGUCAUAGAAGUAGAAGUAGGAGUCCAGAGAAGUCCCAUAGGCACAAAAGGUAUAGGCACUCUCGGGAGCGGGAGUCCUAUCAUGGUAGUGACCGGAGACAUUACUGA